rnacentral:rRNA from 1 species
GACGAACGCUGGCGGCGUGCCUAAUACAUGCAAGUGGGACGCAAGGACACACACUGUGCUUGCACACCGUGUUUUCUUGAGUCGCGAACGGGUGAGUAACGCGUAGGUAACCUGCCUAUUAGCGGGGGAUAACUAUUGGCAACGAUAGCUAAUACCGCAUAAUAUUAAUUAUUGCAUGAUAAUUGAUUGAAAGAUGCAAGCGCAUCACUAGUAGAUGGACCUGCGUUGUAUUAGCUAGUUGGUAAGGUAAGAGCUUACCAAGGCGACGAUACAUAGCCGACCUGAGAGGGUGAUCGGCCACACUGGGACUGAGACACGGCCCAGACUCAUACGGGAGGCAGCAGUAGGGAAGCGUCGGCAAUGGACGAAAGUCUGACCGAGCAACGCCGCGUGAGUGAAGAAGGUUGUCGGAUCGGAAAGCUCUGUUGUAAGUCAAGAACGUGUGUGAGAGUGGAAAGUUCACACAGUGACGGUAGCUUACCAGAAAGGGACGGCUAACUACGUG